GAAAUACAAAAAAUAUGGGCCAUCGUAAGUAACAUUUCUAUAAAAUGUGUCUAGUCCAUAAGUGUGGAUAAAAUAGUCAUUUGCUCUAGUACUAAUCGUCCAAAAUAGGGAAUUUUUUUCAUUUUCUAACAAAAAUACCAGAGGUUGAGAAAGUUAUUCUCAUACUUCUCUUAUGGCUUCCUUGCCUGAUCUACCAACAUGAUUCACAGAAGGUGUUGGGGGCCACAAUGUAAAUCCCCGAAAUUAGAGAAGGCAUAUGCACGUGGUGAUGGAGUGAUGCCUUAUGUGACGAUGUCGCAGUGUAAGGGUUAAGGAAAGGCACAUCAAUGACUGAAGGCAGAUGCAUAGUUGAUGGGUGAGCGUGCAUCACAAGCAACAAUUCGGUAGAGAUAUUACCGAGUAGAAUGCCUACAAGUGUGCCACUUACCUGAUGAGGGGAUGGUGUGGCUUGGGUGGAGAAAAGGAGAACGACAAUGCAAUGGUGGUGGAGCCGUAAGUGUUGGGGAGUGGGACAACUCAAGUACGUGUUGGUAAAUUACCAUAAAUAGUUUUAUCUAUCAACUACAACAUCAUUCAUUUGUUCUCAACCACCCUACGUGUUCGGUAUGUAUAUAUAUACGUGCAUAGGUCGAAGCUACCCUCGCUAUGUCACAUUAUUAUAUAACAGUUCUAGUCUACCUCUUCUAAAUCGCUUGCUAUAGCAACAUAGAGGUUGCAAAAUCACAUGUUUAAUUACAAGUAGGCUAUCUCUUGCUCUAUACUGUAGAUGAAACAUAGGCACAAGUUCACUUGGAAUGAGCGGCAUUCGGAAAGUACAUGGAACUCGUUUGCUUCCUCAUGCGACCAACACAUCUGUGGUCUCUACCAGAUCUAUUGCAAACUCGUUCGACUUGUGUGAUUUCUUGUCACAAAAUAGUGCUCUCACACGCAAUUGUACGUGCAACCAUCACCUCCCAAAUCUAAGAUUUAAGUCGAUUUCUUCAUGUUGAGAAGAGGAAGCUGGACCGGUACAUGAAGGGCGAUGAUUUCGUUGUCAGGAGUGAUGUCGUCAUGGUGAAGGAGAUAUUCACCAAGCAGGACGGUGAAUAAAAAUAACAAGGGGUAUUUGUUAUUUUUACCAAGGGGUGUUGGUAUCAUCAUUGUUAUUUUUACCAAGUGGAUCUGUAAAAUUUCGUUCAAAAAAGUUAUUUUUUGCAAGGUGCAUCAAAAUAACAAAAAUCCGGCCCAAC
rnacentral:lncRNA from 1 species